rfam:Eubacterium sp. CAG:180 genomic scaffold, scf38
GAGCCAUUAGCUCAGUUGGCAGAGCACUUGACUUUUAAUCAAGGUGUCCGGAGUUCGAAUCUCCGAUGGCUCA